UAAAGAAUUUCGGUAUGGGAUGGGGAUGCGUUCCAUUAGCUAGUUGGCGGGGUAACGGCCCACCAAGACGACGAUGGAUAGGGGUUCUGAGAGGAAGGUCCCCCACAUUGGAACUGAGACACGGUCCAAACUCCUACGGGAGGCAGCAGUGAGGAAUAUUGGUCAAUGGACGAGAGUCUGAACCAGCCAAGUAGCGUGAAGGAUGACUGCCCUAUGGGUUGUAAACUUCUUUUAUAUGGGAAUAAAACGUUCCACGUGUGGGAUUUUGUAUGUACCAUAUGAAUAAGGAUCGGCUAACUCCGUGCCAGCAGCCGCGGUAAUACGGAGGAUCCGAGCGUUAUCCGGAUUUAUUGGGUUUAAAGGGAGCGUAGGUGGAUUGUUAAGUCAGUUGUGAAAGUUUGCGGCUCAACCGUAAAAUUGCAGUUGAAACUGGCAGUCUUGAGUACAGUAGAGGUGGGCGGAAUUCGUGGUGUAGCGGUGAAAUGCUUAGAUAUCACGAAGAACUCCGAUUGCGAAGGCAGCUCACUGGACUGCAACUGACACUGAGGCUCGAAAGUGUGGGUAUCAAACAGGAUUAGAUACCCUGGUAGUCCACACAGUAAACGAUGAAUACUCGCUGUUUGCG
rnacentral:rRNA from 1 species